AGAGAGAGAGAGAGAGAGAGAGAGAGAGAGACUGUGCCCACCUCUGAAUGGGUUUGUGCUUCUGUUGGCAGGGGAGGACGGCUGGUGGUCGUCUCUGUGGAAGGAGGCGUCAAGAACAGACACGGGGCUGAUGAUCGCCGCGGGUUCUGCAGAAGGAUCUUCUUCGAGGCACUGCAACGGCUUCUGUAACAGGAGAAAAUCGCCAUGGACGAAGACGGGUCUCGUCACAAGGUCCGCAAGAACAUGUUUUUUCGGUUCCAAAUCCAAAAAUUCGAGGGAAAAAUAAACCUUUUCUUCCGGAUUUGGAGUAAUCUGGUCGUCCCGUUGACUGAAAUCAGAGCCCAGUUCCGCGUACUGAUGAUCAGCAGCGCCUCUCACUCCUGCUGCGUCCGACUGCAAGGGUGAUCUCGCGUUGACUUCCGCCCGUCGACGGCUCUCCUCCUCGGAGGAUCGCUUCCCACUGCCGAUCGCCGCCGAGUGGUCAUCGUUCGGGCGGCCCAUCCUCCCCGCCUUCUGCUGUCUGACCUUUCCCCUGGGCGGCACAGGUUCCGACGCGUGCCGGCCGGGUGACUUCCUCUGCGGCUUCCCCGAUCCGGCAGGAGCAGGCGGGCGGGUUGACUUCCUCUCGUGGUCAAAUCUCUUCUGCUGCAGCUUCGGGCUCGAUGAUCCGCCGUUCUCCCUCCUCGGCUGCCGAGGCCUCGACGAGCUGGGCUUCUUACCGUCAGAGAGGAGUUGACUUCCAGCUUCCCUGGUCCUGGCCUUGCAGCUACUCUGAUCUUUAGCUAUCACGGCAGCGGCGGCGGUGACUGCGGCAGCUCCGCCACCAUCGGCGGCGGCGCCGCCCAU
rnacentral:lncRNA from 1 species